rnacentral:rRNA from 1 species
UGAGGAAUAUUGGGCAAUGCCCGCAAGGGUGACCCAGCAACGCCGCGUGGAGGAUGAAUGUCGUAAGAUUGUAAACUCCUGUUAGAGGGGAAGAAUAGUACCGGUUGGACAGGUAUAUGACUGUACCCUCAGAGAAAGCCCCGGCUAACUACGUGCCAGCAGCCGCGGUAAUACGUAGGGGGCAAGCGUUGUCCGGAUUUACUGGGUGUAAAGUGCGCGCAGGCGUGAUAAAAAGUCAGUGGUGAAAUCCUACAGCUUAACUGUAGAACUGCCUUUGAUACUUUUAUUCGUGAGUUCGGGAGAGNGAGACGGAAUUGCAGGUGUAGUGGUGAAAUACGUAGAUAUCUGGAAGAACACCAGUUGCGAAGGCGGUCUCUUGGUCCGACACUGACG